UACGUAGGGUGCAAGCGUUGUCCGGAAUUAUUGGGCGUAAAGAGCUCGUAGGCGGUCUGUUGCGUCGGCUGUGAAAACCCGGGGCUCAACCCCGGGCCUGCAGCCGAUACGGGCAGACUAGAGUUCGGCAGGGGAGACUGGAAUUCCCGGUGUAGCGGUGAAAUGCGCAGAUAUCGGGAAGAACACCCGUGGCGAAGGCGGUUCUCUGGGACGGUACUGACGCUGAGACGCGAAAGCGUGGGGAGCGAACAGG
rnacentral:rRNA from 1 species